rnacentral:misc_RNA from 1 species
CAACCCUCAAGCCCCCCUGGGGGCUUGGUGUUGGGGACCGGCCCUGCCUAUCGCUGGUCGCCGCCCCCGAAAUACAGUGGCGGUCCCGCUGCAGCCUCCUCUGCGUAGUACCUGCAAGCUCGCACCGGAGCACAGCGCGGCCACGCCGUUAAACCCCCAACUUUGCAAAA